AAAAAAUAAAAGAAUUUAAGUUACGGCGAGUCUUGGUUUGGGUAUUGAGGGCCUCAAAAUAGGGAUGGGAAAAAAAAAAAAAAAAUUAUGGCAAGUCGGUCUGAAUCGCAAGAAAGUCUGAAUCACAACAAUUUCUUCUGCAGAAACUAGGGUUUGUGUUGUGUUUGUUUGCUGAUCGUCAUCAAUUUGUAACUAAUCUUGACCAUAUUAUAUAUCGUACUAUGGAUCUUGAUAAAGAACCAGAACCUGAUCUUGAAGAUUACCAAAUAGACCGUUCAUAUAUAAAGAUGAGAGAACAGGCUAAGACUCGGUCGCUAAAGCUAAGGAUAAAGAAUCAAUACUAGAAGGUUACAGAUCUGGUGUGAGGAGCUAUUAUUUUGAAUUUGAAUUUGAAUUUGAAUGCAAAGAAGCCUGGGCCGAAAAAAUGUGGAAGGGAGUAAUAGUAAAACAUGGACGAAUGAAAGGAGAUGCUCGAUUUUGGUGUUUGUGCAGAAAAUGAAGAUAUCAGAGAGUAGCCAUUGAUUCAAUACUGAUGUUGAAGGAAUUCAGAACUCCAUAUCUGUUGAGACCGACUGAUGUUGGUGUGGACUUCAACCAAGAAGUGAUUGUGAUUAGUCAUGAAGGAUUUGAUUCCUAUUUUGUUGAGUGGUUGAAGCUUGGAAACAACAUAGAAGCUGAGAGUCAGCCUUUUUUUGUAAACACAUUCGGCGACUAUGAAUUCAAGGAGUUCUGGAUUGAAUCGAUGAUGAGAUAAGAAUAUUUUUUUAUUUCAAAAAACUCCUUUCUUUAUUUGAGUAGUAUAUUAUAAUAAUACAAUUUUUUAUUAUCAAUUCCAUAAACAUUCUAGAUACAACAGGGUAUCUACACAAAAUGGGUAGAGCCCAUGGAAAUGUUCUCCAUGAUGGCUCAUAUGUUACGCGGAGAGGAAAGAUGCAUCUCAUCAUUCCUUCGAUGGAUGAAAUGAUGGCAGAACAAAACGGAAGACCUUGGAAAUUCAAAAAGUUCAUAUUCCGUCAUAUUGGCCUAAACAAUCAUCCAACUAGGCCUCACGAUUGGAAUCCAUUCUACAAUUACAAGACCUCUAAAGCAUCCUGCUAUUGAAACACCAUUUGUUAUUGAAUGAGAAAGUGAUAUUUCAAUACUUUGUGGCUCUUCGCCAUCAUUUGGGAUAUCAUCACAAGGAUUAUACUUUUAACACUGACCAGAAAAUCAAUCAAAAGUUGAUCAAUCCAUGGGGAAAGGCAAAUUGGAUAGAUAAGGUUCGCAUGGCUCAUAAAAAGUGACAAAUGUGUGUUCCUUAGGUUCUGCAGUAUCAAUAAAAUGAGGCUGGAAGUGUAAACCAAUACAAAUCUUGUAUGUCUGAUUUGGUUCGUUUUGUUGAUAAUACAACCCAUCAUGGUUGUGACCAUGCAAAGAAAUUUAAGGAACUGAUAUAUCUUGAAGAAGAUGUAGCCAUGGAGUUGGGGCACAUAUUUCCAGGCUUUCUCUCAGCCUUCACACAAAGUUUCGAUCGAAGUGUUUGAUUAUCUGAUAAUGUAGCUUCUAAUCUUAAUAUGCUCAGGUACAGUGAUAUAACAUGACUUAGCCAGAAUUUAGUUGUGUUUUCAGUGAUUUUAGUAACACUAUCAGUGGCAAGUGAUGUUUCCUUGGUAUUUUGUCACCAUGGCUUAGACUGUUUUGUUUUCUCUAAUAGUUCUUGAAUGUGAGCCAGAAUUUAGUUGUGUUUCCAGUGAUUUUCUUAACACUAUCAGUGGCAAGUGAUGUUUCCUUGGUAUUUUUUCACCAUGGUUUAGACUGUUUUGUUUUUUCUAAUAGUUCUUGAAUGUGAGCCAGAAUUUAGUUGUGUUUCCAGUGAUUUUAGUAACACUGUCGGUGGCAAGUGAUGUUUCCUUGGUAUUUUGUCACCAUGGUUUAGACUAUUUUGUUUUCUCUAAUAGUUCUUGAAUGUGAGCCAGAAUUUAGUUGUGUUUCCAGUGGUUUUAGUAACACUAUCAGUGGCAAUUGAUGUUUCAUUGGUAUUUUGUCACCAUGGUUUAGACUUUUGUUCUCUCUAAUUGUUCUUGAAUGUGAGACGGACUCUCAUACUUGUUUGUCUUCUAUGCGUGACAUGUGCUUAAAUUAUCCUCAGAAGUGUGUACUGUUCUUGGGACGCGUUCCCUUCCUUCUAAUACAAUUUUACUUAUCAAAAAAAUAAAAAAAAUAUUCUCAGAAGUACACUACACUAGAAUUUUACCAUUGAACAAAAAAAUUAAUCAUGUUAUUUAUAUUUCAAAGUGUUAACGUCUGGGUCAAAUCGGCUAAACAUUUGUGAAUGAUUGGGGUUAAAGGUACAUAAAUUGUUUUAAUAUUGUCUAUUGGACAUUUUUAAAGUUAAUUGGGUGUGGAUUGAUAACAUAAAUUGUCAAUGAACAUGUAUAUUUGGUCAAAUUAAAUCUAAAAAAUUGUUUAAAAAGAAAUUGAUAUUUGACCAUCCCAAAGUGUACUUGUUAUUUAUUGUUGCCCAUCUAAUUGUUGCAUGUGGAUUCGAACGUCCUUUAGAUUCAAUAAAUUAACCUUGCGAAGUCGAAACCGAGAACUGGACCGAAGCCCCAAGAGUUGAGCAAAUUAUCCCUCCACUUUCAAUGGACCUUGCGGCUCCUUGCCUAUUUCAUCCCUACAUGUGGGUGGCGUCAUGAGAGCCUGUUUCGGAAUUCAAAUGGACUUUUCAUUCUGACUUGCACAUUUUAGGAAUUUUUUAUUUUAUUUUUUUAAUUGAUACUUAAAUACACAUGUCUCGUCUCGCUAUAUCAUUAACAGUUGGUCACACUUUAGAACUUGAAUUGUAGGCAAUCACUUGGAUCAAUCAUUUUCAUCGUGGGUUUGUUUUUUCAUUGAUUGAUAUAUACAUCAUAUGCAACACAUAGGACUGCCCUUGGCACUCCUUUAAUUAGUAAUGUAAUAUUUUACACAGGGCAGUGAAUAUAUACAUAUAGACAGAGGUACCAUCUACCUGGAGAAAUCACCAUUGAACUUAAAUAAAUUUCAGGUGUCUAUCAUCUUCAAACUCUUUACACAAUAUAAAUGAAUCAAGAUUAAGUUGAAAUUUGUAGGGUUUGUGAGUAAAUAAAAAGAGAAGAAAAGGGAGAGAGGAGGAAAAACAUUAUUCUCGUAGGGUAGAAUAAAACCUACUACAGAUUCUACAUCACUCUAAAAUUAUAUAUAAAUAGCAAGAAAAUAAAACUGCCUUUAAUACAGUAAGGCCUAAUAACCCAACUCUCACCCCCUUCAAGUUGGAGCAUAUAGGCUUUGUUUGGAUACACAGGAAAGAAAGGAAAUGAUUAUAAGAGAAAAUAAAUAAAAAAAAAAAAAGAAAAGAAAAGAAAGGAAAUGAGAGCUAUAAUUAUAGGCUUCGUUUGGAUACACAGGAAAGAAAAGAAAGGAAAAGAUUAUAAGAGAAAAUAAAUAAAAGAAAAGAAAAGAAAAGAAAGGAAAUGAUAGCUAUAAUUUAUAUUCAUGUUUGGAUAGAUAGGAGAGAAAAUAAAGUAAUGAGUAAUAUUCUUGUUUGGAUAACAAAGAUGAGAGAAAAGAAAGGAAAAUAAUAAUUAAAAUUACUGUUUUACCCUUUUUUGUGGGGUUAGUAGGACAAAUCAUUUCAGCCACCCCAAUGCCAGCCACCCCAAAUAAUUAAAAUUACUGUUUUACCCUUCUUCUUUUUUUUUUUUUUUUU